CCUACGGGUGACAGCAGUGAGGAAUAUUGGUCAAUGGGCGCGAGCCUGAACCAGCCAAGUCGCGUGAGGGAAGAAGGAAUUCGGUACGGAAAGCUCUAUCAGCAGGGAAGAAAGACUGAACUUACGGACAGCAGACGGUAGCUGAGGAAGAAGCACCGGCAAACUACGUGCCAGCAGCCGCGGUAAUACGUAGGGGGCAAGCGUUAUGCGGAUUUACUGGGGGGAAAGGGAGCGUAGACGGUGCGCCAAGUCUGGAGUGAAAGGCCGCCGCUUAACUGCGGAACUGCUUUGGAAACGGGCGAACUAGCGUGCGGGAGGGGUAAGCGGAAUUCCUAGUGUAGCGGU
rnacentral:rRNA from 1 species